rnacentral:misc_RNA from 1 species
GAAAUGCGAUAACUAGUGUGAAUUGCAGAAUUCCGUGAAUCAUCGAGUCUUUGAACGCAUAUUGCGCCCCCUGGUAUUCCGGGGGGCAUGCCUGUCCGAGCGUCAUUGCUGCCCAUCAAGCACGGCUUGUGUGUUGGGUCGUCGUCCCCUCUCCGGGGGGGACGGGCCCCAAAGGCAGCGGCGGCACCGCGUCCGAUCCUCGAGCGUAUGGGGCUUUGUCACCCGCUCUGUAGGCCCGGCCGGCGCUUGCCGAACGCAAAUCAAUCUUUUUCCAGGUUGACCUCGGAUCAGGUAGGGAUACCCGCUGAACUUAAGC